rnacentral:lncRNA from 1 species
AUGCCAGUGAGCGAGCGGGGCGGCCUGCGGACUCUGGGUCAGCACGUGGCCCGGGCAUCUGCGUCUCUAACCCAUUCCCUAACGAGGCCGAUGUUGCUGGUGCAGGGAUGUCACUUCGAGAAUCACCGCUCUGUAGUUAGUGUCUUUGGUUUUCCGGCGUUUAUCCCGGUGGCCCUGUGUGUACGUGAACACGGAUCACUACAAUGGACCCGUUUAUGUAGGAUUUUGAAAUUCGGUGGUUUCCAUCUCACAAAAUAUCCUAGACAUCAUCCCCACGCUACAGAUUACGAUUGCCCACAGUCAGCAGUGUGGCCCGCCGUGUCGGUGGCGCCCGGUGACGGCACCUGCUGCGGAGAGCCGGAGGGAGCACACAGAACUGUCCAGUCGUGUGGCUCCCCCGAAACCCGUACGACCCUGUGGGUCACUUGUGCUUCGAUAAAAAUCAGAUUGAAAAAAGAGAGUCGGGAAACCAGCCACGGAACUGAACCAACGCGAUGGGAGGAGCCAACGGGAGGAGGGUUGCAUAGGCCGAGGCCGAGCCCAGGGGCCGAGUGUCCCGAGGAGCGGCCCCCGAGCUCUCCUGCCGGGCCGGGCCAUCUGCGCAGCCCCGGGAGGCUCCCGGAGGCCUCGGCUCCCUGCACGGCCGCCCGAGUCCACGGCCCGUGUGGACACGGUUCAGCGGUGGGUGAUGCCCCUGCAGCCGGGCCUCCCACACGUCCAGCCGUGGAGCGUGAUCCUCCGAGGACCUCUGCGUUCCUUCUGUUUUCUAAGCUAGAGGACUCCAGGAGACAGUGCUCCGCUCCGUCCGACUUCACUUCACGGGAGGCCUGGGGCUCGGCGUCUGCACCUGCACCUCCGACCCGGUGGCCCGCAGCCUGCAGCCUCCUUGCUCCUGCAGCUCCGGCCUCCGCCAGGGUCCAGGCCCGGCGGUGCCCAGGCCAAGCAGGAACCGGGAGCGUAGCGGGAAGGCAUCGAGGGCAGAGGUGAGGUGGGGAUGCACGGGGCGGACGGGCCCUGUGUCUGCACGAUCAACACCCAGGAAGAGCCUUCGUUCGUGAACAAGGGUCCCUCUCGAGUUCCUCCCGCUGCCCACGGACCUCCGGGUUGACCUCGCGUCUUUCUUAGGGGAAAGGAAACGAAAAAGAGUUCCCUGCGGAGCAGUGACCCACCUGCCGCCCAGCCCCCAGGCUGCACCGGAUCGCGGACGGAUGGGGCGGCCUGAGCUCCCUCCAACGGGAGGCCCGGGGCAGCGCGGCGGGUCUUGUGGUUUCUCAGGGAGCUCACCAAGGACGCAGGGAGCGGAGAGAGGCCCCUGGGGCUGGGGGUGCCAGCGUCGGGGUGGGGGGUGAAGACGCAGGGAGACGUGGCCAGGAGCAAGGGCUCUGACGGACGGACGCUGCAUCCGCUGUGGCCGAGAGCAGGCCAGUGAGACAAAAAAGCCACAGAACACGCAGACGAGCUUAAAGACGAAGCCGAGAGCCGGGUCCUGCGAUACAGAAAUGGAGAAAACAACCCAGGGGCGCCUGGGGGCUCAGCGGGUUAAGCGCCAGACUCUUGAGUUGGGUUCAGGGCAUGACCCCAGGGUCCUGGGAUGCAGCCCUGAGCCCUGCGGGGGGUGGGGGUGGGGGGGUGGGGGGUGGGGCUUGUCCUCCUUGGGCCUCCUUCCACUCCCCACCCCUGCGCACUCCCUCGUGUCUCUCUCCCAAAUCAAUACAUCUUAAAAACAUCCUUAGGAGCGAUUUAUUAUUUAUUUAUUUAUUUAUUUUCCGGAGCGUUUUAAUGAAAAGUUUUUAUUUUAUUUUAUUUAUUUUUAAAGAUUUUAUUUAUUCAUGAGAGACACAGAGAGACCCAGGCAGAGGCAGAAGCAGGCUCCGUGCAGGGAGCCAGAGGUGGGACUCGAUCCCGGGUCUCCAGGAUCACGCCCGGCUGCAGGCGGCGCUAAACCGCUGAGGCACUGGGGCUGCCCUACUCAUUUAUUUUAUUCCCGGAAGUCUGUGCAAAAGUAGGUGAAGGGGAGUGAGGGGUGCAGGCUUCCGGGGCCAGUACCCUCAUUCGCAUAAUGAGGAAACUGAGACCCAGGGGAAGUUAAGCAACCUGCCCGGAGUCGCCGCCGUGGGGUCGGGCUUCGUCGCCAGGGUCCCCGCCCGGGUAACAGCUUCUUGGCGAUUAGCUGUAAAGACAAUGUGGGCCGUUCGUUGCUUGUAUCGCUUUAUUUAUCACUGUUUCAUAAUGAACUUAAAGGUUUAAGUUUAAAGGAGAAAAGGAAGACUUUUCUGAGCAAGACAGGAAACCCAGUGCACUGGCAGGGUGAGGGUUUGCAGAAGUUAAGCUGGGGCCUGUUUACCAUACGAGAAGCUAGCCAAAAAAAAAAAAAAAAAAAAAAAUGCACGUAAUUGAUUUCGAUGGCGCCCGUUCCCUGAGUGCGACACUUGGAAGGCGGCUUGUUCUCGGCUGGAGACUUUGCCCAAAAAGUACACAGUGAGCGGCAGCGAGGAGGCUCAUCGUAGGAACAGCAGAGGAGAGACCAGAGGAAGAGCUGCUAAGGCCCUGCGGUCACCGCAGCCUGCAAACCCAGGAAAGCAAACUCAAUUUGCUCCGGAAACUGGAAGAGAGAAGCCGAGGCUCACGGCAGAGGCAGGGGCUGCAGCUGACGGGCGGUGACGCCGGCCAGGGGUGAGGCCUGCGGUCGCCAGGUCUCCUGAUUUUCCGUGGGACGGGCUCGGUGACUGUCCCGACGGAGGCCGCCCAGGAUGCUUCUGGGCUUUCCUGCCCGGGGUCCCCCCGACGAGGACCCCAGCGCCGCCGGGGCCUCCAGCGGCUCCGCGAGCACAUUCAGGCUGAAGGAGGAGACGUCAUUCAUGACACACGUGCUGGAGAAGGUGUGGGAUCACGUUCUGGGAUCUUUAAGGACCCCUUCUCUCCUUUUUCAAGAUUUUAUUUAUUUGUUUGAGAGAGAGGACGGGAAGGGAGGGGCCGGGGGAGAGGGGGAGCCUCAAGCGCAGCCCCACCCGGUGCAAGCCCGGGGCGCCCUGUCCCACCGCCCCACGAUCACGACCUGAGCUGAAACCAAGACUUGGGCGCCCAUGGGACACGCCCGCCCCGGGGCCCUGAGGGUCCCUUCUGCCUGAGGCCGUCACGCUGAGGUACAUUCUGACGUUGGCGGCAAAACGACAAAACCUUGAAAACCGCCUCUCCGGGCGCUCGGCAUGCACCAGCCUGGCGCCGAGGUGCUGUCCGUGGGCCGUGACGCGGCUGGCUGAGGCCUGGGCCCGCGUGGGCGCACCUGAGGGCACCCGGAUCUGCAGGCGGUGGGGUGCGGCCCGGGUCUAGGUGGUGCUUGGCGGUGGGUGGCCACAUCCACGGCGCGGCCCUCGCUCAUCCGCGGCCCCGCGUGGCUGUGCUGUUGCCUGGUCACCCCCGUGACGACCGUCCAAGGAACUGGCCGGCAGAGACGGAAGGCGCGAGGCGUGACACUGCGACACGUGAGACUUGAGCCGGACGUGGUGGGCGAGCAAGGAGCCGGCCGGGGACACGCGCAGCUGGAGCACGCUCGGCGGCAAGGUGAGCCGAGUGGGGACCUGGUGGUGACGGAGGGCGGCCGCGGCCAGAGGAAGCCGUGGUAAAAAGAAUUCACUGUAAAGGAAGCUGCAGAGCGACUUUACGACCUCGGCAGCACAGGUGACAAAGUGGCAGAAGCGGGUCCCGGCUUGGAAGGCUCUGACGGCCAGCGGUGGCGGGAGGACGCCCAGGCCGCACCUCGGGCGCGGGAGGCCCAGCUGGUUCCAGGUGACCCAAGUCCCCGUGUUUCUGAUGUUCCGAGCACAGUGCACUAAACGCCCCUUACAGUUUCCCAUUUUAUUUCACACUUAUAACGGGUAGUAGGAGUUUUUAAUAUAUUGACAGAUUUUUGAGGUCACAGUCCUUCUCCCCAUCGAUUACUAAGCUUGCUUUGAAUGGCCCUCGACGCGGCCCGACCCUGCCUGUGGCCGGACACACUGCCUGCCUUUUUUUUUUUUUUUUUUUAAGAUUUAAUUUAUUUAUUCAUGAGAGACACAGAGAGAAGCAGAGACACAGGCAGAGGGAGAAGCAGGCUCCAUGCAGGGAGCCCGACGGGGGACUCGAUCCCGGGUCUCUAGGAUCACGCCCUGGGCUGCAGGCGGCACUAAACCGCUGCACCACCCCGGGAUCCCGCCGGUUUCCAUUACUGAUGGCCAAAUACCCCUCUAAUCGGACACAUACAUUCCUUUUGACUCAGUCGUGUCUGUAUGUGACUCCAUCCUAGGGGAACGAGGGUACCAGUGUGUAGAGAUUUAUGUAGAAUUUGUGUAUAACAUUGUUUUUGGAAGCAAAGAGCUGAGAACAAAUGGAAGGUCUACCAGAAGCCAGAUGGCUAACUAGUGUGGUAGAUCCAUGCAAAGCCUUGCUGUAUGACCUCUAGGAGGAAUGAUUUAAAAGGAAGUCUAUUGAAUUGAGGAAUGUUCAUAGUGAAUUGUCAUGUGAAAACAGCAAAUCGAAUAGUUAAAUUUAUAGUGCAGUCCAUUAUUUGUGGAAAAGGUCUCUGCAUGUGUGUAAAUGUUUGUAUAUUUCUACACGGGCACAGGAAAAAGGGGUAAAAAAUGCCUAGAGGAAUGAGGGGAGAAACAUUUGAAUGAGACAAGCCUGCUACAAGAAAAGAAUCUGCCUUAAAAAAACAAAAAAAUAUAAUUUAUAUAUCAAUAAAAUAUAUACAAAAUAUAUUUUAAAAAAUAAUAAAUAUAUAUAUUUUAAAGAUUGUAGUUAUUUAUUUUAGAGAAAAAGAGAGAGAGAGAGAGAGGGAGAGAGAGAACGAGCGAAUCUCAAGCAGACUCCGUGCUGAGCCUGGAGGCCAGCCCGGGGCUCCGUCUCAGGACCCUGAGAUCAUGACCUGAGCUGAAAUCCAACCGAGCCCCCCAGGAGCCCCAAUCUGCCUUCAUUUUCAAACUUUAUUGAACUAUGAAGAGAAGCGUCUCAUAUGACAUAAAUGUACAUGGUAUUGGCAGCUAUGUCUUAAAUAUGGAGUUGAAUAGAAGAAAAAAAUUUUUAGACACGCAAAACAUUAAUUUUAUUAUAUAGUAAUUUAAAAAAUAGACUUUAAAAAUUUUUUUAAAAAGAUAUUAUUUGUUCAUGGGAGACACACAGAGAGACAGGCAGAGGGAGAAGCAGGCUCCUUGCAGGGAGCCUGACGUGGGAUUCGAUCCCAGGACCCGGGGGUCACACCCUGGACCAAAGACAGAUGCUCAACCACUGAGCCCCCCAGGCGCCCAACAGACUUUUUAAAAAAACACUUUCUAAAAGAUUUUUGUUUUUUUAGUUCCAGUUUGGUUUACAUACAGUGUUGCAUUAAUUCCAGGCGUACAGUAUAGGGAUUCAACGCCUCCGUACAUUACUCGGUGCUCAUCCCGACACCUCCUUCACCCCCUUCACCACCUCCCCUCUGGCGACCUUCAGCCUGUUCUCUAUGGUCAAGAGUCUGUUUAUUUGGUUUGUCUCUUUUUCUUUAUUCAUUUGUUUUGUUUCUUAAAUUCCACGUAUGGGUGACAUCAUAGGAUAUCUGCUUUCUCUGACUUAUUUUGCUUAGCGUAAUACCCUCCAGUUCCACCCAUAUGGUUGCAAGUGGCAAGAUUUUGUUCCUUUUUAUGGCUGCGGACUCUUCCGUUGCAUCCGUACACCGCCUCUUCUUCAUCCAUUCACCGAUUAAGGAUGCACACUUGGGUUACUUCCAUAAUUUGGCCACCGUAAAUCAGGCUGCGGUGAACACGGGGGGACACACAUCUUUUCAAGUCAGCUUUUUUGUAUUCUUGGGGUAAAUACCCAGUAGUAGAAUUUUUUUUUUUUUAGAAGAGAAACUCUUUUUUAAAAAAAUUUCUAUUUAUUUAUGAUAGUCACAGAGAGAGAGAGAGAGAGGCAGAGACACAGGCAGAGGAAGAAGCAGGCUCCAUGCACCGGGAGCCCGACGUGG